UACAGAGGGUGCAAGCGUUAAUCGGAAUUACUGGGCGUAAGGCGCGCGUAGGUGGUUCGUUAAGUUGGAUGUGAAAGCCCCGGGCUCAACCUGGGAACUGCAUUCAAAACUGACGAGCUAGAGUAUGGUAGAGGGUGGUGGAAUUUCCUGUGUAGCGGUGAAAUGCGUAGAUAUAGGAAGGAACACCAGUGGCGAAGGCGACCACCUGGACUGAUACUGACACUGAGGUGCGAAAGCGUGGGGAGCAAACAGG
rnacentral:rRNA from 1 species